GAACAAUGGACAUGUUGGCAUCAGCACAAACUGUUUUGAGUCAAAGUUUAGUUUGUUGAUUCAAACUUUUUGGCAAUAUGGACCUCCAGAUUUUACAUAUAAAGAGCCCACAGUCUGCAGGGAGCUGAUUGGCUCGUGUGGUGCGAGCUCCUCCCACCGUUGCUAGGAACCCGACUACCAGGCUUGUGAUUGGCUCAUGGAGGGAACCGAGACUUCAUUCAUAAGUCUGUGUAUUCAACCGGACAAAGAGGAGAAAUUCGAGCCCUUGAAAGAGGAAAUGCACCAAUCACGAGCUUCGUCUGGCUCCAAGCGAGAAAAGCAAGUCUCAAAAACAUGUCUGUUUGAGGAAUGACAGCACAGCUGGCGCUCAAAAAGUCACCACACUUUCGAAAUAAACGCACUAAGAAUCAUU